rnacentral:rRNA from 1 species
GACGAACGCUGGCGGCGUGCUUAACACAUGCAAGUGGUGCGACGAACCAGGCUUCGGCCUGGGGCGAAGCCGCGAACGGGUGAGUAACACGUGGGCAAUCUGCCCCGUUGAUCGGGACAACCCGGGGAAACCCGGGCUAAUACCGAAUGAGGUGGCGACUCAUGAGAGUCGUCACGAAAGGAAGAUUCGGCCUCCGCGAAGGCAUGAGCCCGCGGCCCAUUAGAUUGUUGGUGGGGUAAUGGCCUACCAAGGCAACGAUGGGUAGCUGGUCUGAGAGGACGAUCAGCCACACUGGGACUGAGACACGGCCCAGACUCCUACGGGAGGCUGCAGUGGGGAAUCUUGCGCAAUGAGCGACAGCUUGACGCAGCAACACCGCGUGAGGGAAGAAGGCUUUCGGGUCGUAAACCUCUUUCAGUUAGGACGAAGCUUUAUUGGUUAAUAACCAAUUGGAGUGACGGUACUUUCAGAAGAAGCCCCGGCUAACUACGUGCCAGCCGCCGCCGUAA